rnacentral:rRNA from 1 species
UUGAACGCUGGCGGCAUGCUUUACGCAUGCCAGUCGCACGGUAACAGGCCGCAAGGUGCUGACGAGUGGCGAACGGGUGAGUAAUGCAUCGGAACGUGCCCAGUCGUGGGGGAUAACUACUCGAAAGAGUAGCUAAUACCGCAUACGAUCUAUGGAUGAAAGCGGGGGACCGUAAGGCCUCGCGCGAUUGGAGCGGCCGAUGUCAGAUUAGGUAGUUGGUGGGGUAAAGGCUCACCAAGCCAACGAUCUGUAGCUGGUCUGAGAGGACGACCAGCCACACUGGGACUGAGACACGGCCCAGACUCCUACGGGAGGCAGCAGUGGGGAAUUUUGGACAAUGGGCGCAAGCCUGGUCCAGCAAUGCCGCGUGCAGGAAGAAGGCCUUCGGGUUGUAAACUGCUUUUGUACGGAACGAAACGGCUCUGGUUAAUACCCGGGGCUAAUGACGGUACCGUAAGAAUAAGCACCGGCUAACUACGUG